UGGAGAGUUUGAUCCUGGCUCAGGACGAACGCUGGCGGCGUGCUUAACACAUGCAAGUCGAACGAUGAACCGCUUUCGGGCGGGGAUUAGUGGCGAACGGGUGAGUAACACGUGGGCAAUCUGCCCUGCACUCUGGGACAAGCCCUGGAAACGGGGUCUAAUACCGGAUAUGACUGUCCGCCGCAUGGUGGAUGGUGUAAAGCUCCGGCGGUGCAGGAUGAGCCCGCGGCCUAUCAGCUUGUUGGUGAGGUAGUGGCUCACCAAGGCGACGACGGGUAGCCGGCCUGAGAGGGCGACCGGCCACACUGGGACUGAGACACGGCCCAGACUCCUACGGGAGGCAGCAGUGGGGAAUAUUGCACAAUGGGCGAAAGCCUGAUGCAGCGACGCCGCGUGAGGGAUGACGGCCUUCGGGUUGUAAACCUCUUUCAGCAGGGAAGAAGCGAAAGUGACGGUACCUGCAGAAGAAGCGCCGGCUAACUACGUGCCAGCAGCCGCGGUAAUAA
rnacentral:rRNA from 1 species